rnacentral:rRNA from 1 species
GAGGAAGGUCCCCCACACUGGUACUGAGACACGGACCAGACUCCUACGGGAGGCAGCAGUGAGGAAUAUUGGUCAAUGGCCGGGAGGCUGAACCAGCCAAGUCGCGUGAGGGAAGACGGCCCUACGGGUUGUAAACCUCUUUUGUCAGGGAGCAAGAGGCGGGUCGAGACCUGCUGUGAGAGUACCUGAAGAAAAAGCAUCGGCUAACUCCGUGCCAGCAGCCGCGGUAAUACGGAGGAUGCGAGCGUUAUCCGGAUUUAUUGGGUUUAAAGGGUGCGCAGGCGGAGGCACAAGUCAGCGGUAAAAUCGCGGGGCUCAACCCCGCUCCGCCGUUGAAACUGUGUCCCUUGAGUGCGCGAAGGGUAGGCGGAAUGCGUGGUGUAGCGGUGAAAUGCAUAGAUAUCACGCAGAACUCCGAUCGCGAAGGCAGCCUACCGGCGCGCAACUGACGCUCAUGCACGAAAGCGUGGGUAUCGAACAGGAUUAGAUACCCUGGUAGUCCACGCAGUAAACGAUGAAUGCUAUCUGUCCGGCCGGAAUGACGGCUGG